rnacentral:lncRNA from 1 species
AAGAAUUUUUUACCCUCAAGUGACAUAUACAUAUAACUAGGAACACUGUGAAUGAUUGCAAGAACUGAGUCUUACCCUAAACUAUGUACUUUUCACAGGGAUCAAAUAUAGUUGUAGAAAUGUUACUGAAUACCCAUGUCUGUUUGGUUGCUGCUCUCCAAACCAACUCUAGAGAGCCUGGUGAAAAGGAAAAGGAUUUAUUCAAAGCUAGCUCUGAGGAGAUGGCCUCUUAUCACCACGAACCACCAAUUUACCAUGUCCAGGGGCUUGCAGCUAACACUGUGCCUUAAAUCUCAGAGGAGACUUUGGACUUAGACUUUUCAGCAACACUGAAACUGUUAGGAAUUUGGCAACUCUUGGAGAUGGACUAGAUGCCUUUUGCAUAAAGGAAUGUGCAUGAGGCUUUGGGGGUCCAGGGGCAGAAUAUUAUGGCUUGUGUAUAGAUGUCACUCCAAAGCCUCAUGCAGUCAUAGGUGGGGCUUUCACUGAUUAGUUUGGCAUCUGCACUAAGCCGGUCAUCCUAGAAAAAGUACAAAAAGGAAAGAAAGAAGCUGCUGUCGUCUCUUGUAGCUUCCUGCCAUGCUGACUUCUGCCUUCUGCCUGCCAUGAAUUGUUUCUCCUCUGUGAUGUCCCUCUGCCAUGCCACCCUGCCCUGGAGCCCGCUAACUAUGAACUCUACAAACUGUGAGGUAGAUAAAACUUUCCUCCUUUAACUUUGGGUGUCAGGUAUUUUGUCUCACCAAUGAGAAAAGUAACUAAGAUAAGUGGAGUUGAUGGAUCCAGGCAGAAAGAUUUAUUGUAUGACAAGUACAGCAGUUUGUCAUGGGUCUGAAAUAGAGACUUCAGCCACCUCCCCCAUAGGGAGGGCAGCAGCUUUUAAGCCUGGGAUAGGGGAUGAAGCUUGUGCCUGGGAGUGUAAUGAGGGGUGAAAUGAGGAAGUUAGUUGGCUUUCAACCUGGAAUCCAAGUUAUGCUACCAAGGGGAAGGGGAAGUAGGAGGAGUAGGGGAAAGAAAAGGAGGGAAUGGAAUUAGUAUUAGAAAAUGGAAACAAAGUAAAUAGGGAGGGGU